GAUGAACGCUGGCGGCGUGCCUAAUACAUGCAAGUCGAGCGAACAGACGAGGAGCUUGCUCCUCUGACGUUAGCGGCGGACGGGUGAGUAACACGUGGAUAACCUACCUAUAAGAGUGGGAUAACUUCGGGAAACGGGAGCUAAUACCGGAUAAUAUAUUUAACCGCAUGGUUCAAUAGUGAAAGACGGUUUUGCUUUACUUUAUAAUGGGAUCCGGGCCGCUUUAGCUGUUUGGUAAGGUAAGGCCUUACAAAGGCAACGAUGAGAAGCCGACUGAAAAGGGGGAUCGGCCACACGGGAACUGAGACACGGUCCAGACUCCUAGGGGAGGCAGAAGUAGGGAAUCUUCCGCAAUGGGCGAAGGCCUGACGGAGCAACGCCGCGUGAGUGAUGAGGGUCUUCGGAUCGUAAAACUCGUUUAUAAGGGAAGAACAAAUGUGUAAGUAACUAUGCACGUCUUGACGGUACCUAAUCAGAAAGCCACGGCUAACUACGUG
rnacentral:rRNA from 1 species